GGACUACCGGGGUAUCUAAUCCCGUUUGCUCCCCACGCUUUCGUGCCUUAGUGUCAGGAACGAGCCAGUUAUCUGCCUACGCCAUCGGUGUUCCUCCCAAUAUCUACGGAUUUCACUCCUACACUGGGAAUUCCAAUAACCUCUCUCGUCCUCUAGCUUUGCAGUUUCGAUAAUGUAUAUAUGGUUGAGCCACACGCUUUCACUACCGACACACAAUGCCACCUACGCAACUCUUUACGCCCAGUAAUUCCGGAUAACGCUCGGAUCCUCCGUAUUACCGCGGCUGCUGGCAC
rnacentral:rRNA from 1 species